rnacentral:misc_RNA from 1 species
CGUAAUCUGCGAUCGGGGCGUCAAUUCCCGCGCGGCCAAAGGGGAGGUGGUCCGGAAAGCCGGCGGGAUUGGGAUGAUUCUCGCCAACGGGGUGUUCGACGGCGAGGGCCUCGUCGCCGACUGCCAUGUUCUCCCCGCUACCGCAGUAGGUGCGGCAGCCGGUGACGUGAUACGUAAGUACAUUGCGGCUGCGACACCACGAUCGCCUCCCACUGGGACGAUACUCUUCCGCGGAACCCAGCUCGGGGUCCGACCUGCUCCGGUGGUGGCAUCAUUCUCGGCUAGGGGUCCAAACCCCCAGACGCCGGAAAUCCUCAAGCCGGAUAUCAUCGCCCCUGGGCUCAACAUCCUUGCUGCCUGGCCUGAUGGUGUCGGUCCUGCCGGGAUCCCAUCCGAUCAUCGGCGGACUGAAUUCAACAUCUUGUCAGGUACCUCAAUGGCCUGCCCUCAUGUAUCUGGGCUCGCCGCCCUCCUGAAGGCCGCACACCCGAACUGGAGCCCAGCUGCGAUCCGAUCGGCACUCAUGACUACUGCAUACACAAAAGACAAUCGGAACAUGACUAUGAUGGAUGAAUCCACUGGGAAUUCG